rnacentral:rRNA from 1 species
AUACGUAGGUGGCAAGCGUUAUCCGGAUUUACUGGGUGUAAAGGGCGUGUAGGCGGGACGGUAGGUCAGAUGUGAAAUACCGCAGCUCAACUGCGGGGCUGCAUUUGAAACCAUCGUUCUUGAGUGCUGGAGAGGGAAGCGGAAUUCCUAGUGUAGCGGUGAAAUGCGUAGAUAUUAGGAGGAACACCAGUGGCGAAGGCGGCUUUCUGGAAAGUAACUGACGCUGAGGCGCGAAAGCGUGGGGAGCAAACAGGAUUAGAUACCCUGGUAGUCCACGCCGUAAACGAUGGAUACUAGGUGUAGGGGGUAUCGACUCCCCCUGUGCCGCAGUUAACACAAUAAGUAUCCCACCUGGGGAGUACGGCCGCAAGGUUGAAACUUAAAGGAAUUGGCGGGG